CUACUACGUUGAGAGAGUAGCACGAGGAUGGUAGUAGCGAAAAGACAAGUUCUUUUGGUGUAAGAAAAGAGUAGUAUAAAAAAAAAAAAAGAGAAGUAGUAUAAGCCAAGGUAGUAAAGAAAACAGUAAAAGCUGAUGAAGAGACAUCAGGAAAGAAAUAUCACAAGUUUAUUAAACUAUCCUCUCUCACUCUCGAUACGCCAGAGAUACCAGCUGUGAACGAGUGUUUUGUGGAGAUGUUAGCAGCAAGAGUCAUCGUAGAAUCUGUUAUCAGCGGAUGAUAGCAAAACUUGGUCUGAUUUCAAAUAAGUUAUAUGAAAAAGGAUCUAUACCAAAGAAUGUGUCACAGAUUGCUUCGAUUUGUUAUGAUGUGUUAUUGUAAAAGUAUCCAGCCAAAGUGAGGAAGAGCCCUCACCUUUGAUUGCCACUGAACUUGGAGAUCUGCUGCAACCAUAAAAGCUGGACUUAGUCCACCGUUUGGUCUGGUUUUUUGCCUGCUUUGACCUUUGUAGAUGCUGCUGCUGCAACUACUCCGGUGACGAACAUGCCUGGUGCUGUCAGCAAAACUCUGAAACCAUGUCCUAUGCUGACCAAAAGUGUUCCAGUAAACACCACAUGAGUGAGUGAUUAGUAGCAUUGUUGUUUCCUGUUUUUGGUUAUCUUCACCACAGGAAAAAACUAAAUUUUCUGCAAGUUGAAUUUUUAAUGUUUCUGAUGAAUCUCUUGCCUCUUCUUUGGUAAAAAAUAUUUUGGCAAUUGUUUUUAAUUAAUUAGUCCUACUUUUUGCUCUACAUUGUUGGGAUCUGGUGGUGUUUCAGUCAAGAAACCCACCCAACCUUUAGUCUUUUCUGUGACAAGCCAAUGACUCCUGGAAAAUGCUAUAUGGUUGCACAGAGGCUUGGUGACUACCUGAUUGAAUCAGGGCUCUGAAACUCAAGUUGCUGCUAUGUUCAUGACAUCAAUAUUGUCUUCAUAUUGAGAGGAAAACUAUUUAUAUUAUGAAAUGUGAUUGAUCAUUUUAAUAUUCAAACUAUGUCUUACCUUCUAUCAUGCUAUGGAUCUCGGGAUUGUAUGAUUCUAAAGCAGACUGGUAUUGUUUUCAUUUGUGUUAAGUUGAAAAUAUAAAUAGUUGAGUUCUCGAGAUUUGA